CCUCUUGAAGAUGAAGAAAACAUCUCCUACAUGAUGCGGGGACUCGGUCCUGAGUUUGGUCCUUUGGUGACAAGCAUCACUAUCUGCACUGAUCAUGUCACAAUCAACGACAUCUACGCACAUAUGCUUAGCUAUGAGC